rnacentral:rRNA from 1 species
GAUGAACGCUGGCGGCGUGCUUAACACAUGCAAGUCGAACGAUGAACCCGGAGCUUGCUCCGGUGGAUUAGUGGCGAACGGGUGAGUAACACGUGAGUAACCUGCCCUUGACUCUGGGAUAACUGCGGGAAACUGUAGCUAAUACCGGAUACGACCCUCGGCGGCAUCGCCAGGGGGUGGAAAGAAUUUCGGUCAAGGAUGGACUCGCGGCCUAUCAGCUAGUUGGUGAGGUAACGGCUCACCAAGGCGACGACGGGUAGCCGGCCUGAGAGGGUGACCGGCCACACUGGGAGUGAGACACGGCCCAGACUCCUACGGGAGGCAGCAGUGGGGAAUAUUGGGCAAUGGAGGAAACUCUGACCCAGCGACGCCGCGUGCGGGAUGAAGGCCUUCGGGUUGUAAACCGCUUUCAGUAGGGAAGAAGCGAAAGUGACGGUACCUACAAAAGAAGCACCGGCUAACUAUGUGCCAGCCGCCGCGGUAA